GAGUAACACGUGGGUAACCUGCCCAUCAGAAGGGGAUAACACUUGGAAACAGGUGCUAAUACCGUAUAACACUAUUUUCCGCAUGGAAGAAAGUUGAAAGGCGCUUUUGCGCCACUGAUGGAUGGACCCGCGGUGCAUUAGCUAGUUGGUGAGGUAACGGCUCACCAAGGCCACGAUGCAUAGCCGACCUGAGAGGGUGAUCGGCCACACUGGGACUGAGACACGGCCCAGACUCCUACGGGAGGCAGCAGUAGGGAAUCUUCGGCAAUGGACGAAAGUCUGACCGAGCAACGCCGCGUGAGUGAAGAAGGUUUUCGGAUCGUAAAACUCUGUUGUUAGAGAAGAACAAGGAUGAGAGUAAAAUGUUCAUCCCUUGACGGUAUCUAACCAGAAAGCCACGGCUAACUACGUGCCAGCAGCCGCGGUAAUACGUAGGUGGCAAGCGUUGUCCGGAUUUAUUGGGCGUAAAGCGAGCGCAGGCGGUUUCUUAAGUCUGAUGUGAAUGCCCCCGGCUCAACCGGGGAGGGUCAUUGGAAACUGGGAGACUUGAGUGCAGAAGAGGAGAGUGGAAUUCCAUGUGUAGCGGUGAAAUGCGUAGAUAUAUGGAGGAACACCAGUGGCGAAGGCGGCUCUCUGGUCUGUAACUGACGCUGAGGCUCGAAAGCGUGGGGAGCGAACAGGAUUAGAUACCCUGGUAGUCCACGCCGUAAACGAUGAGAGCUAAGUGUUGGAGGGUUUCCGCCCUUCAGU
rnacentral:rRNA from 1 species